AUCAGAAGUUUUGAAUGGCCUGUGAGUCAGUAGUGUACCCUGGCAGCCCAGAGGGCCAACCAUACCCUGGGUUGCAGCAGGCCCAGCACUGCCACUGGGUAAGGGAAGGGACUGUCCCACUGUGCUCUGCACUGGUACAGCCCCACCUUGUGCACUGGGUGCAGGUUUGGGCACCAAAAUACAAGAAAGACAUAAGACUAUUAAAGAGCAUCCAGAGGACGCUACAAAGAUGAUGAAGGGUCUUGCGGGUAAGAUGUGUGAAGAGCAGCUGAUAUCUGUUGGUUUGUUCAGCCCUGAGCAGAGGAGUUGAGAGGAGGCCUCAUAGUGGCCUACAGCUCCUCACAGGGAGUAGAGGAGCAGCUCUGAGCUCUGCUCUCUGGUGAAAGCGACAGGGCCCGAGGGAAUGACAUGGAGCUGUGUCGGGGGAUGGUCAGGCUGGGGACUGCGAGCUUGCAGUAUGAAAAUGGAAUCUGCAUGAACUGACGUUCAUAAUAUCCAUUAAUAUGUUCUGAUUGAAUUGUCACAUGGUAAACAUUUGGAACCUGCAAGCCUGAACAGAGACCUUUGUACAGCCUCAGAAGAGAUGAGAUACUAUGUCCUGUAAAAACUACUGCUAUGUCUAAGAAGUACUUGCCUGAACAAGAUGCCCUUUCGCUUUGUUUCUCAACCUUGAUGGUAAAAUGCUUAGAGAAUGGCCUGCAAAGCAACAAGAUGACUCUGCUCCCAGUAAUUUCAGCUUCCACCGUGAGGCCUCUCACCCUGCAGGACUUCAGCUGCAGCAAGCUGUUCCUCUUCAGGAUGUAAUUAAAGAUUACUUCACACACUGUUUUCUUUACCUGCCAAAAUACUUCCUCUUUCUCUUCCUUCCAUGUUGCCAAUCUUUGACACAAAGGAAACUGUCAAAUGCCCGACUCCUAAAAGAAAAAGUAGAAGUUCUAUUUCUUCCUCGGUUGUAUAAAUACGAAGUUAUUAAAAUUAUUAAACAAAGCU